UACGUAGGUGGCGAGCGUUGUCCGGAUUUACUGGGCGUAAAGAGCGCGCAGGCGGUCGUUCAAGUCGCGUGUGAAAGCCCCCGGCUCAACUGGGGAGGGUCACGCGAUACUGAUCGACUCGAAGGCAGGAGAGGGUAGUGGAAUUCCCGGUGUAGUGGUGAAAUGCGUAGAUAUCGGGAGGAACACCAGUGGCGAAGGCGGCUUCCUGGCCUGUUCUUGACGCUGAGGCGCGAAAGCUAAGGGAGCAAACGGG
rnacentral:rRNA from 1 species